AAACGGGAUACAUCUGUAUGCGCACAAAAAAAAAACAGGAAUACAUUUCACCCAAAUAAUUUUUUGGUUGAUGAACAUAUCCUUGUCAAAGAGUCUUUCGCUUCUGUUAGUUGCCAUCAAUCAUUGGUUGAUGGAGAAAAUUGCAGGUGUGAGAAUAUCUACUGAUCUAUUUCCAAAUCCACACUCGAAUCGACCAGUAGAGAAGGACACGAUCCUGUCCCUCUUCUUGUGUGGUAGAAUUGAACACCCUCAUUUUUUGUGGAAACGUACAAGCAGUAGCAAGGUAAACUCUUCCCUUUACUUUUUCCUUUUUUCUUUUUUUAGGGUUUUUAAUGUAUAAUUACCUGUUCUAUCUAUUCAAUUGUUUAUAAUUUGAAGAUCCGCUUAAGAUUAGGUUGUUAUUUGAUAUACAGUAUGUAGGAAAAAAUUAUUUUUCACAUGGGUUUUUGUAGUUUGGGUUUUGAUAUGCUUAAUUUCGGAAAUGUUUGAAGUUAUUUAGUCUGUUUUGGUGCUGGGAUCAAGAUUCUGUGCCUUUUAUACCUUUAGAUUAAGAAACAAUGUCUCUCAUUACUUUCUGUAGCAUCCUUGUUCUGUAAAUCAGACUGUACUGUAGAUUAGAGACCACCAUGCUACUCAUUUGAUUAGUUUAGAAUAAAUGCUGAAGACUGUUUGAUACAACCCUAUACCCAAGGAACUUUCAGAUGUCAGCAACAGGGAGCAUGAGAGCAAAUGAUGUUUAACAAUCGAUGUGGAGCCUCUGCAGCAACUGCUCAGACCUCAGUGGCGUUGUGAUCCUGACUCUGAGCAAUCUUUGAAGCCUCUGCAGCAACUUCUCAGACCUCAGUGCAUUGUGAUCCUGACUCGUGAGGUUAUGCCUUUCAAUAACAAUAAGCUGCGUGCGUAAGAAUUUAAGUGACAGGACGAGGGGAAUUAAACAAUUACCUCACUCAAAGUGCAGCCUUAAAGAGAUGCUCCUGAAUUGGAACUGCAGCCCUUAAAGUGAUCACUCACUCAUACCUCUUUGAUUUGUGGAUUUUGUAAACUGACGUAAAUAGCAAAACUUGCAUUUUCAAAUUAUUAUGCAGUGGUUUAUGAAUUGUAGGUUUCUCCGGUUACUUUCAGAUGCUUUCUUUUUACUUGACACAUCUUUUCUGGUUUCAUAGUUGAACUUUGAACGUUAAUGUAACGUUUUAAGCAAAUAUUCAGACUUGUCUCUGAAUCGAUUUUUAUA